rnacentral:rRNA from 1 species
CGUAGGGUGCGAGCGUUAAUCGGAAUUACUGGGCGUAAAGCGUGCGCAGGCGGUUUAGUAAGACAGGCGUGAAAUCCCCGGGCUCAACCUGGGAACUGCGCUUGUGACUGCUAAGCUAGAGUACGGCAGAGGGGGUGGAAUUCCACGUGUAGCAGUGAAAUGCGUAGAGAUGUGGAGGAACACCAAUGGCGAAGGCAGCCCCCUGGGUCGAUACUGACGCUCAUGCACGAAAGCGUGGGUAGCAAACAGGAUUAGAUACCCUGGUAGUCCACGCCUAAACGAUGUCAACUAGGUGUUGGGAGGGUAAAACCUUUUAGUACCGGAGCUAACGCGUGAAGUUGACCGCCUGGGGACGUACGGCCGCAAGGUUA